rnacentral:rRNA from 1 species
UACGGAGGGGGCUAGCGUUGCUCGGAAUUACUGGGCGUAAAGGGAGCGUAGGCGGAUAGUUUAGUCAGAGGUGAAAGCCCAGGGCUCAACCUUGGAAUUGCCUUUGAUACUGGCUAUCUUGAGUGUGGGAGAGGUAUGUGGAACUCCGAGUGUAGAGGUGAAAUUCGUAGAUAUUCGGAAGAACACCAGUGGCGAAGGCGACAUACUGGCCCAUUACUGACGCUGAGGCUCGAAAGCGUGGGGAGCAAACAGG